rnacentral:tRNA from 1 species
GGAGAGGUGACAGAGAGGCCGAAUGUGCUUGAUUCGAAAUCAAGUGAACCUCACGGUUCCGAGGGUUCGAAUCCCUCCCUCUCCGCCA